rnacentral:rRNA from 1 species
UACGGAAGGCAGCAGUGGGGAAUAUUGCACAAUGGGCGAAAGCCUGAUGCAGCUAUGCCGCGUGUAUGAAGAAGGCCUUAGGGUUGUAAAGUACUUUCAUCGGGGAGGAAAAAACAAAACUAAUAAUUUUAUUUCUUGACGUUACCCGAAAAAGAAGCACCGGCUAACUCCGUGCCAGCAGCCGCGGUAAUACGGAGGGUGCUAGCGUUAAUCAGAAUUACUGGGCGUAAAGAGCACGUAGGUGGUUUUUUUAAGUCAGAUGUGAAUCCCUGGGCUUAACCUGGAACUGCAUUUUGAAACUGAAAUACUAGAGUAUCGUAGAGGGAGGUAGAAUUCUAGGUGUAGCGGUGAAAUGCGUAGAUAUCUGGAGGAAUACCUGUGGCGAAAGCGGCCUCCUAAACGAAUACUGACACUGAGGUGCGAAAGCGUGGGGAGCGAAACAGGGAUUAGAUACCCGU